rnacentral:rRNA from 1 species
AAGGAAUAUUGCUCAAUGGGAGAAAUCCUGAAGCAGCAACGCCGCGUGGAGGAUGAAGGGUCUAUGACUUGUAAACUCCUGUAAAGAAGGAAAAAAUUCCCAUUAGAUGGGAGAUGAUGGUACUUCUGGAGUAGCCCCGGCUAACUACGUGCCAGCAGCCGCGGUAAUACGUAGGGGGCAAGCGUUGUCCGGAUUUACUGGGUGUAAAGGGUGCUCAGGCGGAUUUGUAAGUCAGAGGUGAAAUCUUACAGCUUAACUGUGAAACUGCCUUUGAUACUGCAAGCCUAGAGUAUGGAAGAGAGUGAUGGAAUAUCUGGUGUAGCAGUGAAAUGCGUAGAUAUCAGAUAGAACACCAAUGGCGAAGGCAGUCACUUGGUCCAUUACUGACGCUAAAGCACGAAAGCGUGGGUAGCAAACA